rnacentral:rRNA from 1 species
UACGUAGGUGGCAAGCGUUAUCCGGAUUUAUUGGGCGUAAAGCGAGCGCAGGUGGUUUAUUAAGUCUGGUGUAAAAGGCAGUGGCUCAACCAUUGUAUGCAUUGGAAACUGGUAGACUUGAGUGCAGGAGAGGAGAGUGGAAUACCAUGUGUAGCGGUGAAAUGCGUAGAUAUAUGGAGGAACACCGGUGGCGAAAGCGGCUCUCUGGCCUGUAACUGACACUGAGGCCCGAAAGCGUGGGGAGCAAACAGG